AAUUAUCUUCUAAAGUCCACUUUACAUCAACAAUAAAUUGGACAAGAAAUUGACCAAGUUAUUCAAGGCCAAAUUUGACGUGUAAAAGCACACUUUGACAUCUAAGUUUGUUCGUUAUAAACUUCACGUGAAGAAAUUGACGAAAAAGAAAAUUGUUCUAUUUUUUCAUUUAUUUGGCGUGAAUUCAGUGUCACCAACCUGUGUCCAUUUGGCGGGAAGUGGAAGUAGAGCUGUAGAGCUUUUUGUUUAUUAUUAUUUGUUGAGGUUGAGUCUUUCAUGUUCAUGACAACCUAAAAAUUUUGAUUGGAAAAUGCAUAUAAGAUAAGGGGGUGGGAAAAUGGAAAUUAGUGGCUUUUUUGCAGUUCUGUCUGUUAGUUUUGCUCUGGCUAGGUCUCUUUUGUUUAAACAAUUAUAAUCAGCUGAAAGUGGUCUACAAAAAAACCAGGAAGGAAACGUAUUAUAGCCUUGUUGUGGCUAUGAAAGGCAAAAGAAAGAUACCUAUAAAAAGUGUAUUGACUAGUUGGAAGAAACUCCACAUUGUCGAUGCAUAAUAAGAUAUUACUUUAUAAACAAAUAUCAAGACCUAGGAAUGGAACCUGGAUAAUAUAGUCAUCAAGAAGAUAGCAGGAGGUCAUGAGCAACAACAACUUCAUAAGUAUGAGAAUAUUGAGGAAAUCCAGCUCCUCGAUAUCUACUACUGGACAAACUAGAAGAUUGAAGAGGACAAAGCCUUUUGAACUAGUUUGAGUGAUAGGUGAUAGUGAAAAGCAGAGCGUAGUGCUUGUGUGCCUGUGUAUGUUAGAAUAGUGCACGAUCUUGUUAGAUUAGAUAAGAGACGCUAUAGGGUAAGCUCUUCAUUUUAAGGAACAGUAGUAAUUUAGGUUAAAUUAAAAUUGCUCAUUGGUCAGUUAUGACCAGAUUGUAAUUCUCUGAUGUUUGGCAAAAAGGGCUGAAGUCAGAAUUGCACAUCAAUAAUGUUUUGAUGAUUUCUGGACCAUAAAAAAAGUGUUGCAGACUUAAACUGUAUGUACCAAUAAAAAGAGCCGAUUUUUCUGGUCCAGAAAUCAUCAAAACAUUAUCGAUGUGCAAUUCUGACUUAAGCCCUUUUUCCCAAACAUCAGAGAAUUGCAAUGUACAAUUCAAUACAAAUGAAUCAUCAUCGUAGUGAUGAUUAUGGAAAAAAAUAUAUAUAUAUAGAAAUAUAUAUAUUUUGUGCAAUAAAAAUGUUUAUAUUUA